CGCAUAGAUGCUAGAUCAUCAAUGCGCCAGUGAAGCUUGUUGAAGCCGUACCACAGAACACCUGCCAGCUUGCCGUACGCCGUAGACAUUACGCUGAAACGUGUAGACUUUUCGCCAACAUUGCCGAUGAAACAGAUUGUGUUCUUACGCAGCUCGUGUGCUCAGAUUUUUUUUUUAUUAUGAGUUCGUUUGGGCUGCUGGCCAGCGAAGAAGGUGCGCCGCUUGAACCAACGUUUCUAGAACUAGCUAGAACCAGGUUCUAGAAAUCUUGGCUUGUACUACUUCGGAUGUCAGUUGUUUCAAGUUCAUCGGUGGUGGACUCACCUGCCGGUCCUGUGUGGCUAGUCUCCUACACUGUUUUCUACUGGUCGCCUUCGCCUGGAUGUUCCUCGUGGGGUUCCAGAUCUGCACGGUCCCCAUGGAGUCCAUGGACCGCCACCAGUUACGCCUGUGGUGGUUCUGUAGCCUGGCAUAGAUAAUUCCUGCUGUCAUCGUUUCCAUCGCAGCCAACAUCGAUCCGUACUGGUUCAGCACCUCCAGCUACUGCUGGCUGGAGUCGCUAAACUACUUCAUCCUCAGCUGCGUCGGGCCUUGCGUGGGUGUUGUCUUUUAACUUUGCAGUAUUUGCAAGCAGUCUCGUCUCCAUGGUCUGUGUCAUCUUCCUGUGCAUCUCGGCCCAUGUCCUGUGUCAGCAAGGGAGCACCACCACUGCAGUCAAGUGCAUGGAAGAAGCCAAGCCUUAGCGACAUUUAGUGGGCUCUCUUUCUGGAGACAAUCAUGCCCCUCGCCUGGGUAUCUGGUAUGUCGUCAAGUACACGGCCAUGUCUGCCUCCUUGUUCUGCAUCUUCAACAGCCUACAGGGGGGCAUACAUACGUACUCUUAUUCUGCUGCUGGAAGAAUGAAGUGGUGCUGCUUGGAUUGCUGCGAGUCCCAGCGGGGCUACGACCGAUCGACAAGGGCCCAAUAUUGCCAGCCAUGUUCUCGGCCACCGAUCAAGAAAAGCUGACGGCCGUGGUGUUUCAUUGGCUAAGCAUCAUUCCUGGAGGAGCGAAGAUGACGUCAUCGGACCCACCAGGAGCGCUGAUGGAUGCAUCUGUCAACGGGACUAUAAAAUGGCUCUUCAGCACGGCACUCGACAGUGGGCGUGGCGGCGAUGCUAUGAUGCGAUCUACAAACACGAUCAUGUUUUUCGUACAGGUGUGGAAACGAUACAGAAAGUGUUAUUCUAGCAAUAACAUUUGCCUUAUCUUACUGCCAUGCCCAUGGUCAAUGUGCGAAGCGAUUACUAACAUGACUCCAUGUUAAGAUCUCCGCUUCCUGUUGUUACUGAGUGGCGACGUAGAAACUAAUCCAGUGCCCGCAGAUGGCCAUUGGCCUAAGUAACUAAAGGCAAUCACGGACGACAUAAAGAGAACUUAAAAAGAAAAUCUGUCACAAAACAAAAGCUAAGAGCAAUCAAUAAGAAGCUUGAAAUAUUAGUAGAUUGGAGAAGCAGGUUUCUGAUUGCAUAAAACGAAUAGCAGAAUUAGAAAACAACAUCAAAGGCAUGAACAAAAAAUCAAAGAACUAGAAAACAGAAGUCGGUGGUCAAACCUGAUUGUCUACGGAGUUGACGAACAACAAAAUGAGUCAUUUCAAAAGCUUGAUAACUUUGUAUCGAAGGCAAUAUUUGAAGAUACUGUCGACAUAAAGACUGCAGGUAUUGAGCGAUCCACCAAGUUGGAAGAACUAAAGGGGAAUAAUAAAACAGGCCAAUAAUUCCUAAGUUGCUUGAUUAUCGCGACAAGGUCAAAAUAAGUACUCCAGUCUUGUUCUAUACUGAAAGGGAGCAGGUUAUUCACUAAGUGAGGACUUCUCGCUUGGUGUACGUGAAACUAGAAGGAAACUGUGGAAUAUCACGAAAGAAAACCGUGAUAGAGGAGAAAGGUGAAGGCUUAUUUAUGACAAAGUUUAGAUCAACGGUCGUCUUUUCACUUUGGAUGAAGGCAGCAAAAAUAUUGAAGUAAAAAAAAAGAGCAACCACCAACAGCAGAGUCUUCUCGACGAAAAACGCACUCUUUUAAAUGUAAUGUGCAAAGCCUUGUGAAUAAGCAGACCAAUUUGAAGCACAUAUUGGCUCUAAAACCUGAUAUUGUUACUGUGAGUGAAACGUAACUACAAUCUAAUAUAUGUGACCAUGAAAUCGUGUCACCGAGUUGCACAAUUGUCCGCAAGUAGGAACACUAGAGGCGGAGAAGUAGCACUUGUUUUACGGCAGGGAAUCGCUUACCCUACGCGGUCAUGCUUGAAGUAAAUGGUGUCAAAGCAAUUUGGUGCAAGGUUCUCUUAAACGACGGUUUUGUGUACUGUUGGUGCCAUUUACAGGCCCCCGAAGGCUGUUGAAACGUACCCAAGUCCUCUCCUGGAUUACGUGAAUUCGCACAUGCUCGGUGGCAGGAUUAUUAUGGCGGGUGACUUCAGCCUAACAAAUGUAAACUGAUCCUCCUUAAGUCCAGGUCCUCGGAUCGAACAAUAUAGUGACUUACUUCUUAUCUGCUUUCAGUCUAACUUGGCUUGUUCUUUAAAAUACACGAAUGCAAGGCGCAUUGCACUCAGUGUGAGAUCUUGUAUUUGUAAGUGAUCAUUUUUCCGCCGAUGACGCAAGUGUUGAAACAGUUGACAACAUAUCGAUCACAGAAUAGUUCUAUGUACUUUCCCUUUGACGGUUCCAAUAUGACAGUCUAACUCAGUAAAAUAUGUGCUCUUUUUUAACAAAGAAAAUGAUGGGGCAAUAAUUACCUACUUUUCCCAUGAGUAUUCCAAUUUUUCAAAGCUAUGUGCAGAUAAAAAUUCAAGUAUAGAUGAAGUAUGGGCACAGUUUAAACAUGAUAUUAUGCACUGUAUAUCUGACUUUAUCCCCAAGCGAUAACAGGUUUGAAGGAAGCACAACCCAUAGAUUACCUGUGACAUUAUUCACUCCAAGUGCAAAAUAAAGCAUGCAAGAAAGACUAAAAAAAUGCUAGGAAGUGCUAGCUCUCAAAUAGCAACGCUAACGUUAACCUUAAAAGGAAAGGUAUUAGACGCAAAACGGCACUUUUAUGGAUGCACUCUACAAAGGUUUUAUCAAGAGGACACCCGAUAAAUUCUGGUGAUACAUAGGCAUUAAACGGACGUUACUCAGCGUUUCUCCUUCGAACUUUCACAAUGAAGUUUUCCCAAACCAACCCAAUUAGCGUUUCUGGCUGAAAAGGGCAAGAUAAAAGAAAUAACUUCAAUUCAUACUUUUACGCAGUUUUUAGCACUGAUGACUGCCUAAAGUUUAUACCGGGUUCCCGUCACGUUGGCCAAGGCAGAUCGCUUCCAUCGUUGAAUACUGCAGCUUCCGGCAUACUUUCACUGCUCUUAGAGCUUGAUGAAAAGAAAAGUAGUGGCCCUGACAGAAUACCAAACGCCUUUCUUAAAAGCUUUGCUGAACCCAUUAGCAGGUACCUUCACCUUAUAUUUACAAAGUCAAUUGGUAAUUGCCGUCUGCCGGCAGACUGGAAAAUCGCGACCCUGUACACAAAUCAGGUGAUACUUCGGUCCCGUGCAACUACCGGCCAAUUUCUUUAACGUGCACUAAGCUGUAAAAUGCUUGAGCACAUUAUAAUAAAAGUAAUUACUAAUUAUGUAGAAGAAAACAACCUCAUCUGUUUAUCUCAAUAUGGGUUCAGAAGUGGGCUAUCUACUGUCACUCAACACACAGAGCCUAUACACGACUUUGGGCUGGCAAUAAACGAUAAAUCGCAAAUUGAUGUAAAUUUCUUAGACUUAUUUAAGGCUUUCGACCGAGUGUCUCACUCUAAAUUCAUCACUAAACUUAUAGAAAAACUAGGCAAUGGUCCAAUAGUUGAAUAGAUUAAGGAUUACUUUUUAUAUUGCUAUCAAUUUGUGCACUAUAUUGGGCAUACUUCUAACACCGUUAAGGUCCUUUCAGGCGUGCCGCAGGGAUCUGUCCUCGCCCCGCUCUUGUACCUCCUAUUCAUAGAUGACAUUGUUGAAACAGUAAACGUUAAAGUUAGAUUGUAUGCAGAUGACUGCAUAAUUUACAGUGACAUCAAAGACAUAUGCAAUCAGGUUGCCCUCAAAAAUUCUUUAAACGUCGUAGCACAGUGGUACCGAGACUAGCAGAUAGUUACUAAUUCUGAAAAAACGGAUGUGAUGAACAUGUGCAAAAAGAAAAUCAAACUAUUAUUUUAGACUCCCUCGGAGAUGUCACCCUUUGCACAGCAACUCAGUAUAAAUAUUUAGGGCUUUUAAUAUCGUCUGGACCUUAAAUGGACAGCGCAUGUACAACAGGUGACAAAGAAGCCAAUGAACAAGUUGCUAAACCGGACGUUACGUCACGCUUCCGCCGACACGAAGAGCUUAUCUUGCAUUACUUUUAUAAGAUGAAUGUUGAAUACAGGAAUAUAGUCUGGUUUCCUUCGACAAACAGUGACAUAGAUAUCUUCGAGAACGUAAAGCUCAAGGCGGUAAGGUUUAUUUUUAACUUCUUUAAGUGAAUGGAUUCCCCCUCCGAACUUCUGCACUGAGCAGAGCUGCCUACGCUCUGUGAUAGAGCAAAAAUACACCAAUUAAAUUUUUUUACCAAUUUUUUAAUGGUCAGUUUAAAACUAAUGCCCCAGCCUUCGCCGUUAAAAGGAAAAAGGAAUAGUGCCUCAAAAACAACCCUAAAUGUACAAAGAAUACUUUUGUAGAACAACACCUUCCGUUUUUCAUUUUUUACCGUAUAAUAAGAGAGUGGAAUGCACUGGAUUCAAUCACUGUAGCACAGCCAACACUUCAAAAAUUUUUAGAAAGUAUUGAAAGUUUCGUAUGGCGUCUCUAGUUCUCGGCUAAACUGCUAGAAUAUGGGUGAAAGCUUUCACACUUCGUUUUAUUUUCUUGGAUCUCUUGGUUUUGUAGGCCAUAUAAAAUACGUUUUUUUGUCGUGUAAUAUGGCGAAUCCCAUUAUCGCGAACACUUGCAGUAAAGAUGUUACUGCUGUGUGCGUUUAGUUUUUGAAUAGUUUGUUCUUCUUGUUGUUAUUGUAUUGUAAACAUUGUACCUUGCUUGUACAAUGUUUGUAUUUUCCGCUCCUCAUGGAGGGUUCACGUUAUUUUGUAAAUAAAAUUUUAAAAACAUAA